rnacentral:rRNA from 1 species
UCGAGAAUUUUUCUCAAUGGGGGAAACCCUGAAGGAGCGACGCCGCGUGGAGGAUGAAGGUCUUCGGAUUGUAAACUCCUGUCAUUGGUGAACAAAGUCACAAGUUAACUGCUUUGUGAUAUGCUAGUAGCCGAAGAGGAAGAGACGGCUAACUCUGUGCCAGCAGCCGCGGUAAUACAGAGGUCUCAAGCGUUGUUCGGAUUCAUUGGGCGUAAAGGGUGCGUAGGCGGUGGGGUAAGUUGGAUGUGAAAUCUUGAGGCUUAACCUCAAAAUUGCAUUCAAUACUGCUCCGCUCGAGCGCUGUAGAGGAGAUUGGAAUUUACGGUGUAGCAGUGAAAUGCGUAGAUAUCGUAAGGAACGCCAGUGGCGAAAGCGAAUCUCUGGGCAGCAGCUGACGCUGAGGCACGAAGGCCAGGGGAGCAAA